rnacentral:rRNA from 1 species
AAAGGAAUAGACGGGGGCCCGCACAAGCGGUGGAGCAUGUGGUUUAAUUCGAAGCAACGCGAAGAACCUUACCAGGCCUUGACAUCCCCUGACCGUCAUGGAAACAUGGCUUCUCUUCGGAGCAGGGAGACAGGUGGUGCAUGGUCGUCGUCAGCUCGUGUCGUGAGAUGUUGGGUUAAGUCCCGCAACGAGCGCAACCCUUGCCUUUAGUUGCCAUCAUUAAGUUGGGCACUCUAGAGGGACUGCCGGUGACAAACCGGAGGAAGGUGGGGAUGACGUCAGAUCAUCAUGCCCCUUAUGGUCUGGGCUACACACGUGCUACAAUGGUCUGUACAGAGGGCAGCGAAACCGUGAGGUGGAGCGAAUCCCAGAAAGCAGAUCUCAGUUCGGAUUGCAGGCUGCAACUCGCCUGCAUGAAGUCGGAAUCGCUAGUAAUCGCAGGUCAGCAUACUGCGGUGAAUACGUUCCCGGGCCUUGUACACACCGCCCGU